UUGCACCUGUGUGAGGUGAAGGUGGAGAGAGCAGAAAUGACCGCCAGGUGGAUGCUUCUCUGGUUUCCAUGGGAUGAAGAGGAUGAAGAAUUUGCCAAGAUACCAAGAAAAGAAACGCAAAGAAAAGAAAGACUGAGUAGAAGCCAGAUGGGCUUUUUAAAAAGUCAACUGAAGAAAGCUAGAGGCCAUAGGAAGGUCAUAUAGAAAGGCCAUAGUUGACAUUCGUAUAGGCGAUAUUCCAGGAAGAGGCUAUCCUUGCUAGAGCUACAGAGGUAGUAGCAUGUUUGUCUGGGUAAGCUAUUCUUGAAAACUUCUCUAACAUCAGGUCAUCCAGAAAAGAUACUUCCCUGUAAUGGCUGAUGUCAUUGCUUUUGAUUUUCCUUAAAUAUUAAGCUUGAUUUAUCUGGUGGAACACAAAUCAUAUGGAAACAACCAUUAUUAUUUUUCUCUUUCAUUUACACAAGUGUGUAGGACACCUAAAAAUAAGACAUGGGCUAACAUCAGAUCAUUUCAAUAAGGUGGUAAACCAAACUGGUACAUUUCCUGAAAACACUGGCAUGUGUUUUUUUCCCAGCUAGCCUCAUCUUCAGCUGUAUCAAAGAACUCUCUAGCACCAAGUAACAAACAUCCCACACUGAUCAGGAGAUGUAUGUUCUUCCUCAUCCAAAUGCAAACAUCUGUUCAAAAACUGGAGAAGUUCCAAGUUUUCUGCCAAUAAGCACUAAAAGAAAAUUUCUUCCUGCGCCCAAAUUAGUGUAUUGUAUUAACUUGUAUUAACGUAGGGAAAAGAAGGCAGCUGCAAUAUGCAGAUCAUCUUUUUUCUUCAAACUGAUGGGUUCUGUUUAUCUCACCACGAGCGGAGUGAAAAAUGGAGUAAAGUGUGCA